CCCCCCCCCCCCCCACACACACACACACACACACACACACACACACACACACACGCGCACGCACACACACACACACCCAUUGGCCUUCAGCACUCUCGACUCUUAAGUGAUGACAGGGACCUCUGAUGAGCCGUCGUUCUCACACGCGCCGAGACAGAAAAUGCACACCGCGGUGGUUUUUUUUUUUAAGCGACAUCCAGACAGUGGUCGUCGAGCUGUUGGGCAGUGACAAGAUCACGACAGGGGAGCCUAGGGGCACAUUCUGACCCCUGUGAAGCAAAAAGAAAAACACCUGACUUUACAAAAAAAAAAAAAAAAAAAAAACAUUCAUUGGUGUCUGCUGCUAUCAGCGUGGUGCAGAGGCUGUCGUGCUUUUUAGCAGGUUACCGAGGGUUACCGAGAUGUAUGCGCUUAGAGGGACAGACGAGCCAAACACCUUGAACAGCUGGAUGUUAUCGGCCUGGGUGUGUAGGGGAUUACAGUCCCAAUUCUGAGGGUGGCGUGGCUGGCCAGGGGAGCUUGUUAAGUCUAGGGGGGGGGGGGGGGGUGUAUUUACUGGUGUUUGCUUGUGAUGGGGCUAUCUUAGAGCCGUUUCUUUUCCCUCUAGGAAUUUAUAGUAGCUUCUGCAGAGAGAGAGAGAGAGAGAGAGAGAGAGAGGAGCAUUUUCUUCUUUUCUCCUGACUCACCCCCUUAGAGUCCCCAUCCUUACUAGGCGCUCUGCUGUUGACGCCACUUCUUUCUUUAAAAUGCUGCGGUAUUUUUUUUGAUCACUCCGCACUUUCAUUCAGACUUUGACAGUGACGUGUGUGUAUAUGAGUGUAUGCUUGCUUGGGUGUGUGUGUGUCCCUGAAUGUUGUCUGUUCGUUUUAGCAAGUCUGUCCUUGCCUUUAGUGAAGUGAUGGUAGUUGUCAUUGUCAGUAUUUCUGUGUGGCGCGUGCAGUUGGAUGUCAGACAAUGGGUAUGUGCUCAUAUCUAAACGUAGAAAAUGACAUUGUUGUACCUGUUUAUGGUCUCUAUGUACCCCUCUUCCUUUGUUGGCUGAAAGUUGCAACUUUACCACUGCGUCGCCAUGACUACACAACCACGUAUUACAAGCUCUAUCAGUCCCGCAAUACUACAGCUGAGGGGUAUAGCGUAGUGUUUACAUUUAGUACCCUUACCCCAUGUAAGAGCUAAGUACCAGACUCUACCCUGCUUUAGCGUAGCAUUGUCCUGACUUAGAGCUAAGUACCAGACUCUACCCUGCUUUAGCGUAGCAUUGUCCUGACUUAGAGCUAAGUACCAGACUCUACCCUGCUUCAGCGUAGAGUUGUCCUGACAGAGCUAAGUACCAGACUCUACCCUGCUUUAGCGUAGCGUUGUCCUGACUUAGAGCUAAGUACCAGACUCUACCCUGCUUUAGCGUAGCGCUGUCCUGACGUAGAGCUAAGUACCAGACUCUACCCUGCUUUAGCGUAGCGCUGUCCUGACAUAGAGCUAAGUACCAGACUCUACCCUGCUUUAGCGUAGCGUUGUCCUGACUUAGAGCUAAGUACCAGACUCUAACCUGCAUUAGCGUAGCAUUGUCCUGUUUGUCCAAUAUUUGCGUCUGGAGUAUGUGACAUAAAGUCUGUUUCACCAGUUUGUGUGCGUCAAUGCUGCAUCUGGCAAGCAUCUUAACCACUAAUAGAACUGGUCAACCGAACACCCUUUGUGGGUAUAGAGCACUUUGAUCCCCUCGGGCGACGCCUCCCUAAGCCCGUAGCACCAAGGAGACCACGUGUGACACCACACAUCCGUCCCCCUCACCCUUCAGUGGCAGCACGGUGGCGUGGCGUGGCGUGGCGCUUCUGAGGCUUGUUUGCUGGAAGAGGACUGAUAGGGCAGUUAGGCCAGAGAACCAUUGCUUUGAAUUCGGAGACGCUUCUCUGGUCUCGACUGCUGAACACCUAGGAGACCUCGUUAAUUACCUGGGGUCAGGGGUCAUUAGAGGCCAUGGUGCUUUAAGGUGUUACCAAUAGGUCCACUCCUGAUUUCAAUGGCUCCGAUUUCUUGUGUCAAAUGUUUUUCUUGAACAGUUUUGUGUUUUUUUGUUGUUGUUGUUGUUGUUGUUGUUUAAUCAGUCCUCAGUCAUGGAGUGUUCUAAAUGGGUUUCAGUAUGAGGCUAGAUGCAGUUGUCUUUGAGUUCUGGUUGUGUUCUGGUUCUGUCGUUCAUGCUGCUGCAAUGCUGGAUUGGAGUCGGGCUAAAAUGGGUUACAGCCACAAACAUGCAAGCCAUACCAAGAGACUAAAUGCUGUAUAGAAUAGCCUUUUUUCUUUUUAAUUAUAAAACUGUAUUAUUUUAAAGUUUAAAAUUUACCACAAGUGCAACCAUGUGUACAUGAAAGAAUUUAUAUGAAUAAUAAACCAUAAAUGUCCUUUUUAGAUACUUUAUUUUUACCUCCAUAUUAUCGUGCAGGAGCUAAGCAAGAAUGAUCAUAUGAUGUGCAAAAUAUAUUAUAAAUAUUCCAAGAUGACUGUAUUUUCAGGAAAAUGUUUUCCUUGUGUUGAUUUGAAUCUGAAUAAACAUUCUUCAAACAAAUCUCCAAGUGCCAUGCCUGGGUUUGAAUUAUUCUGAGAUGCCUAAC
ensembl:lncRNA